rnacentral:SRP_RNA from 1 species
CCGUGCUAGACGGGGAGCUAGCGGUGCCCUGUACCCGCAAUCCGCUAUAGCGGGGUUGAACUCCCACUUGAGGUCUUCGGUCUCCUGGCGAUCGGUCCGGGGCUGAGGUGUUGAGGGUCGGGUCCUGCGCAAGGGGGAUCCGUGAACCCCGUCAGGUCCGGAAGGAAGCAGCGGCAAGCGGUGCGCCUCCUGUGCCGCAGGGGCGCUCGGCCGGAGCUUUCGGUCCCGGGGACGGGCCGGGGUAACGGAUCGACGGUGGGUGCACGG